GAUGAACGCUGGCGGCGUGCCUAAUACAUGCAAGUCGAGCGAACAGACGAGGAGCUUUCUCCUCUGACGUUAGCGGCGGACGUGUGAGUAACACGUGGAUAACCUACCUAUAAGACUGGGAUAACUUCGGGAAACCGGAGCUAAUACCGGAUAAUAUAUUGAACCGCAUGGUUCAAUAGUGUAAUACGGUUUUGCUGUUACUUAUAGAUUGAUCCGAGCCUCAGUAGCUAUUUGGUAAUGUAACGGCUUACCAACGCGACGAUGCGUAUCCGACCUGAGAGGGUGAUCGGCCACGCUGGAACUGAGACACGGUCCAGACUACUACGGGAGGGAGAAGUAGGGAAUCUUCAGCAAUGGGAGAAAGCCUGACGGAGCAACGACGCGUGAGUGAUGAAGGUCUUCGGAUCGUAAAACUCUGUUAUUAGGGAAGAACAAAUGUGUAAGUAAAUAUGCACGUCUUGACGGUACCUAAUCAGAAAGCCACGGCUAACUACGUG
rnacentral:rRNA from 1 species